rnacentral:rRNA from 1 species
UACGGAGGGUGCAAGCGUUAUCCGGAUUCACUGGGUUUAAAGGGUGCGUAGGGGGGCAGGUAAGUCAGUGGUGAAAUCUCCGAGCUUAACUUGGAAACUGCCGUUGAUACUAUCUGUCUUGAAUAUUGUGGAGGUGAGCGGAAUAUGUCAUGUAGCGGUGAAAUGCUUAGAUAUGACAUAGAACACCAAUUGCGAAGGCAGCUCGCUACACAUAUAUUGACUCUGAGGCACGAAAGCGUGGGGAUCAAACAGG